rnacentral:rRNA from 1 species
CAGUCGAGCGAUUUACUUCGGUAAAGAGCGGCGGACGGGUGAGUAACGCGUGGGUAACCUGCCCUAUACACACGGAUAACAUACCGAAAGGUAUGCUAAUACGAGAUGACAUAAGAGAUUCGCAUGGAUUUCUUAUCAAAGCUUUUGCGGUAUAGGAUGGACCCGCGUCUGAUUAGCUAGUUGGUAAGGUAACGGCUUACCAAGGCGACGAUCAGUAGCCGACCUGAGAGGGUGAUCGGCCACAUUGGAACUGAGACACGGUCCAAACUCCUACGGGAGGCAGCAGUGGGGAAUAUUGCACAAUGGGCGAAAGCCUGAUGCAGCAACGCCGCGUGAGCGAUGAAGGCCUUCGGGUCGUAAAGCUCUGUCCUCAAGGAAGAUAAUGACGGUACUUGAGGAGGAAGCCCCGGCUAACUACGUGCCAGCAGCCGCGGUAAUACGUAGGGGGCUAGCGUUAUCCGGAAUUACUGGGCGUAAAGGGUGCGUAGGUGGUUUCUUAAGUCAGAGGUGAAAGGCUACGGCUCAACCGUAGUAAGCCUUUGAAACUGAGAAACUUGAGUGCAGGAGAGGAGAGUAGAAUUCCUAGUGUAGCGGUGAAAUGCGUAGAUAUUAGGAGGAAUACCAGUUGCGAAGGCGGCUCUCUGGACUGUAACUGACACUGAGGCACGAAAGCGUGGGGAGCAAACAGGAUUAGAUACCCUGGUAGUCCACGCCGUANACGAUGAGUACUAGCUGUCGGAGGUNACCCCCUUCGGUGGCGCAGCUAACGCAUUAAGUACUCCGCCUGGGAAGUACGCUCGCAA